GUCCGCAGUUGCCUCUGUAACUUGCACUGAUAUCGCUUCCAAAAGCCAGAAGCCUAGAGUCGGAAAGAAUGGCACCGAAAAAGAAGCAGCAGAAGCAUAACAACAAAGCGACCUCAACUUCUUCUUCUAAAUCUAAACCCCAGUCAUCGUCAUCGUCCUCUGGUCCAAGGCUCCAUAUUUCAGCGGAAAACGAGAACCGUCUGCGGCGGCUCUUACUAAACUCAAACCGCUCCACCCAGCCCGCCUCAGCGGCAGCGGUCCAAGAGAAUCUCUCAAGGACCCAAAAGGCCAAGAGACUCAAAAAUGUCUACGAGAAGCUCUCAUGUGAAGGUUUCUCUAAUGAUCAAAUUGAACUCGCCCUCACUUCUCUCAAGGAUAAUGCUACAUUUGAGUCUGCUUUGGAUUGGUUAUGCUUGAAUUUACCGGGAAAUGAGCUUCCUUUGAAGUUUUCCAGUGGAAUUUCUCUGCAUACUAACCAAGGUUCUGUUAGUGUUGUAUCAACUGCACGUGGUGAUCAGACUCCUUCAGUUAAUCCUACCAAGACUGAGGAAGAUGUGCAGCCAGUUUCUGUUAGAAUUAAGGGAAGGUGGGAUGAUGAUGACACUUUGGAUUCUCGCCAACCAUCUCAAGCAGAUUGGAUUAGGCAAUAUAUGGAACAACAGGAAGAGGAUGAAUCUCAAACUUGGGAAGAUUAUGCAAUUGAUGGAAGUUUUUCUAACAAGGAUCCUGUACCGCGGUCUUACGACAUUAUUGCUAAAGAGUACUAUGCAGCACGAAUAGAAGCUACAAAAGCCAAAGAAAAAGGGGACAAACAAAGUCAGGAGCAAGCAGGGGAUAUUAUCCGUAAACUCAAACAAGAAUUGUCUUCUCUAGGAUUAUCAGAUGAAAUAUUGGCACAAGAGUUUAGCCACGAACGUGGUUCUGGUUCUGGGUCUGAGGGCGUAUUUGCAGGUUCUAUGCCUCAUGAACAACUUCGGGCGAAAACAUCAUCUAAUACUGAAGGUGGCUCAACCUUUGUUGUUUCCUCCAAGGAAUUACCAGUAAAUGCCCUUGAGAUGGAGAGUUCAAGUUCUAGGGAGUUUCCAGAUAAACCUGUUCCGUCUUGUGAACCUGCUCAGGGAACCACUGUCAUAGAAGAUGAGGCUGGAGACAUGGAGCUCGGGGAUUUCUUCUUUGAAGAUGCUGCAUCUAAUGAAUCUUUGCCACCUGAAGUAUUGGAAUUACAAAAGAAGGAAAAAAUGAGGGAAUUAUCUAGUGGGAAGAAUUUAGAGAAACUAGAUGGCAUCUGGAAGAAGCACUAAAUGAAGUGGCAUGAAUGAAAGGGAUCCCCGUAGUUGACCCGAACUACUUUGGAAUUGGGGUUUAGUUGAGUUGAGUUUCUCCCAUGGGGGACCCACAGAAGAUUCCUAAGGCUGUUCUUCACCAAUUAUGUCAAAAAUCAGGGUGGGAAGCUCCAAAUUUCAAUAAGAUUCUUGAAAGGAAAAAGGGUUUCUCAUAUUCCGUUAGCAUAUUACGCAAAGCUACUGGAAGGGGCAAGAGCAGAAAAGCUGGAGGGUUGAUCACACUUCAGCUUCCUGACCAGGAUGAAACAUAUGAAUCUGCUGAGGAUGCUCAGAAUAGAGUUGCAGCAUUUGCUGUUCAUCAACUGUUUCCUGAUAUCCCCAUUCACCUAAUAGUCACCGAUCCUUAUGCUUCUCUUAUUUUGCAGUGGAAAGAAGGGGAAUCAUCAAUUAAGGCAGAAAGCACAUUAGAGGACCGCAGGACUGGUUUUGUGGAUUGGUUACUGAGUGCAGAUGGAUCAACCGAGACUGAUGUUGCUACCAGUAGGCUUUCAGAAACAUUACAAAAAUCUCAUGUUAAAGAAAUUAACAAUUCAAGAGAUGCUGGUGCUGAUCCAGCAGCAGGAGGAGAAAACUAUACCAGGAAUGUGGAAAGUUCUCAUUUGAGACAGGAGCAAGAGAAGAAAAAGAAAAUGCAGAAAUACAAGGAAAUGUUGAAAACUAGAACUGCUCUUCCAAUUGCUGGAUUGAAGGUUGAUAUUUUGCAAAUGCUAAAGGAGAACAAUUUUCUUGUUGUGUGUGGGGAAACAGGCUCUGGAAAGACUACUCAGGUUCCACAAUUUAUAUUGGAUGACAUGAUUGAAUCAGGACGUGGUGGACAGUGUAACAUUAUAUGUACACAACCGAGGAGAAUAGCGGCUAUUUCUGUGGCUGAAAGAGUUGCUGAUGAGAGAUGUGAACCUUCACCUGGUUCAAAUGGCUCUUUGGUUGGUUAUCAAGUUCGUCUUGAUAGUGCAAGGAGUGAGAAAACGAAGCUUCUCUUUUGUACAACUGGCAUACUUUUGAGACGGCUAGCGGGGGAUAGAAACUUGACUGGUGUUACUCAUGUCAUAGUUGAUGAGGUUCAUGAACGGUCUAUUUUGGUGAGUGAAAUUUAAUGUAGCCUAAGGUAUUUUAGUUUGUUGAUCCUUAGAUUUUGAAGACUUGUUUCUUUCAUUUUUUUCCUUUUGCUUUCUUGCUCAGUGUACUGUCUGUGUAGUAGGUAAUGUGUGCCUCCUUGUAGUACUCAGAAAGCAGUAAAGUAAGGGCGGUUAUUGAUAAGAUAUUAGUGGAUUUCAUGAGGAUAAAUUAAUGGAGUUAAUUUUUCCCCUGAUAAUAAAGCACAUAUGCAGUGUCUUUCGGUGAGUUAAUAAAUGUAUAAUGGAUGCUUUUCAAUGCAGAGCUUCUGUUUUGCUUUUUAUUUGUUGCUUGGGGGAAUGUUUCUAGCAGGUAGGCUCUAGAAACUAAGAUUCAGUCUUGUCACUGUAUACUAGAAUGCAUGUGAUGUCUUGAUUUACCUCUCAAUAGAAGCGCUUGUAAGGCAGCCAGAUCACCUCCAGAUCAGUUGAUUUUUGUGUAAAAUGGAUACUGUUAUGUACUUAUCUGUUUGGUUGAUAACUUCCAUUACAGGCAUCAUAUUAUGAAAAAAAUUUCUAUGCUGCUGCUGGGAUUCUUAAUUUCCUAUCAAGGUUAGGAGUUAUGCUGUAGGAAAUGCAUGGCCCUGAUUGGCAAGAAUGGAAGACCAAAAAGUUUUCUCCUACCUUUCCUUGAUAGUUAACAUGCCCAAUUAUGCUAGUGAUAUUCGUGCAACAUGUUUGCUGUGUAUCUCAUAUGCCUGUGUGUCUAUACAUAUCAUAGUGGCUGAUGGUUUGACAAUUUCAAAUGGAAGCAACAUUCAUAUCAAAAAAGAGAAUUCAAGGUGCAAUAUUUCAUUAUGAUUCAUUUCACUUGGAUAGACUCACAGCUUAGUCUUUUAAAUUAUUUUAGAGCAUUUAAAGCAUGACCUAAUUGAUUUUGGUGUUUUUGGUUUUUGCUACUGAGUUGGCCCUUUUCAUUAUUAUACUUGCCUUUUGACUUCCUGAGGAAAAGGGACAUGGUUUCACAUUUGAUGUACUUGGCAAGAUUUCAUUUUAUACAGAAAAAAAACAGAGGUUGACUUAAACAAAAUUAUCAUAUUUCUUGCUGUAACAGGGUGAUUUUCUACUUAUUGUUUUGAAGAAUCUGAUUGAGAAGCAAUCUGAUCAUGGCACACCAAAGCUGAAAGUUAUUCUUAUGUCUGCAACAGUUGAUUCAACUUUAUUUUCAAGUUACUUUGGACACUGUCCUGUUCUUACUGCACAAGGACGUACACAUCCCGUGACAACUUACUUUCUUGAGGAUAUAUAUGAAAGUAUCAACUAUCACUUGGCUUCAGAUUCUCCGGCUGCAUUAAGAUAUCAAACAUCGACAGUUGAUAAGAGUGGUCCUGUGAAUAACCGUAGAGGAAAAAAGAAUCUUGUAUUAUCUGGUUGGGGGGAUGAUUCUCUGCUCUCAGAAGACUAUGUUAAUCCCCAUUAUGUUUUAAGCAGUUAUCAUUCUUAUGGUGAGCAAACACAACAGAAUUUGAAAAGAUUGAAUGAAGAUGUCAUUGAUUAUGAUCUACUGGAAGACUUGAUAUGCCAUGUUGAUGAAACAUUUGAUGAAGGUGCCAUACUGGUCUUUUUGCCUGGAGUGUCAGAAAUUUAUAUGUUACUUGAUAGGUUGGCAGCGUCUUAUCGAUUUGGUGGAGCAUCAGCUGAUUGGAUUCUCCCUUUGCAUUCAUCUAUAGCAUCAAUAGAUCAGAAAAAAGUGUUUUUAUGGCCUCCUGAAAACAUACGAAAGGUUAUUAUAGCAACAAAUAUUGCAGAGACAAGUAUAACAAUAGAUGAUGUAGUUUAUGUGAUUGACUGUGGAAAGCAUAAGGAAAAUCGUUACAAUCCUCAGAAGAAAUUGACAAGCAUGGUUGAAGAUUGGAUAUCUCAAGCAAAUGCGAGGCAGCGCCGUGGAAGAGCUGGACGUGUUAAACCUGGAACCUGCUUUUGUUUGUACACGUGUCACAGAUAUGAGAAAGUUAUGCGUCCUUAUCAGGUUCCUGAGAUGCUUCGGUUGCCUUUAGUGGAGUUAUGCUUGCAAAUUAAGAUACUUUGUCUGGGUCAUAUAAAGCCAUUUUUAUCAAAGGCUUUGGAACCUCCCAAGGAUGAGGCAAUGACCUCUGCAAUUUCAUUGUUAUAUGAGGUUGGAGCUUUAGAAGGUGACGAGGAAUUGACACCUCUUGGGCAUCAUUUAGCAAAACUUCCUGUUGAUUUAUUGAUCGGAAAGAUGAUGCUGUAUGGUGCAAUAUUUGGUUGCUUAUCACCUAUUCUAUCGAUUUCGGCAUUUCUUAGCUAUAAAUCACCUUUUGUCUACCCGAAAGAUGAGAGGCAAAAUGUUGAAAGAGCAAAGCUUGCAUUGUUGACUGAUAAGCUAGAUGGCUCAAAUGAUUCAAAUGACAGUGACAGGCAAUCUGAUCACAUUGUAAUGAUGGUUGCAUAUAAGAAGUGGGAGAAAAUUUUGAAUGAGAAGGGAGUUAAAGCUGCACAACAAUUUUGCAGUUCUUAUUUUUUAAGCAGUUCAGUCAUGUACAUGAUAAGGUUUAGUUUCUCUUCUUUGUUUUUCUUGUAUCCAUUGCUUGUUAUGUUAAUGCUUUUAUUCUUUUUAUGCUUUUUGCCUUUCAUUUAGCGUUGAGCUAUGUUGGUACUUACAAAACCUUUAUUUGGUAAUAUUACAUCUAAAAAACUAGAAAUUUGUAUUUGAUAAUCUCUCUGUUGGAUAUGAUAACAUAUGGUUCUAUCAAUACAAUGAAUCUUAGGUCUAAUUUUCAUGGUCUCUGCGAGUUCUUGUAAAUUGUAUAGUUCUAUAAAUUAUACCUAAUAUAGGAAUCCUAGUGUGAGUCUAAUAUCAGAGUGAUUCAAUUUCCAUCAAGAUUUCAGCAUGUUUUAUUGCAAAGUCAGAUUCUUAAUGUCUUGGAAUUAGGAUCGGUAACAAAUUCUUCUCAGUCUAUGUUGAGGCCAGGUGGAAGAAUAACUUUCCCUGUACCAUAUGGUUAUUUAUUAUGUACAUAAAUGUGCCUUAUAAUUUUUUUUCUUCAUUUUAUAUAGAGCAUUUUUUUUAUUCCCUUUUCUUUUUCCCUUUUUUUGAGCAAUCCUUUUCUUUCUUUCUUUCUUAAUUCAUAUAGAAAAGCAGUUGUAUUUGAUAUAUGUCUAAAUUUUAGAGAUAUGAGGAUACAAUUUGGAACGCUGCUAGCAGACAUUGGGUUUAUUAAUCUUCCAAAAAAUUAUCAGGUACUGUGCUCAUGCUUUUUUAUGCAGGUAUGAAUGCAUGUAUUUUGUGUCACUACAUGUACCUGAAUUCUAAGAAAUACUUUACUAUGAUUUUUUCAUUCUGCUUUGCCUUGAAUAGUUCUAAAAUGAGUCUUUUAUUGCCAUUUCCUUUAUACAUUACCUUUUUUUUGAAUAAUCUUUGUGUCCAGAAAUGUAGCUAUCCAAAAUUUUAACAACAGCUAGUUUCUUUGCCCAGAUUAUAGGAAGAAACAAAGACAAUCUCGGUGGUUGGUUGUCAGACAAAUCACAGCCAUUCAACAUGUAUUCACAUCAUUCCUCAAUUGUGAAGGCUAUUUUAUGUGCAGGAUUAUACCCAAAUGUAGCUGCCACUGAACAAGGCAUUACCACAACAGCUAUCAACAGCCUUAAACAGUCCAGUAGUUCUGCAAUAAAGGUUCAUCCAGUCUGGUAUGAUGGAAGAAGAGAGGUUCACAUACACCCUUCUUCAAUCAACAGUAAUUUAAGAGCAUUUCAGCACCCAUUUCUUGUCUUCCUUGAAAAGGUUGAGACCAACAAAGUCUUUCUGCGGGAUACUACUAUCAUUUCUCCCUUCUCUAUCUUGCUGUUUGGUGGCAUCAUUAACGUUCAACAUCAGACAGGGCUUGUCACCAUAGAUGGAUGGCUAAAGCUAACGGCUCCAGCCCAAUCUGCUGUCUUGUUUAAGGAGCUCCGAUCAGCUCUUCAUUCUCUAUUGAAGGAACUUAUCCAAAAGCCAAAGAAUGCAACUAUUGUUGAUAAUGAGGUCAUCAGAUCUAUGAUCCAGCUACUGUUAGAUGAAGACAAACCCUUAAGAUAAGUUGCAAAGCAACAGAAUGUGCAAGCAUCUUUGUUGUUUAUUAUGGUUGGAUGAGGAACCUAUCACUACCGCAGCAGAACAUUUGUUAUAUUUGGAUUAGAGAGAGGAAUACGGCGGGCAUCUUGAAUACCCAUUUCAUACUAGUAAUGGAUUGCGUUGUCAUUUCCUGUUAUCAACAUUGUGAAGCAAGUCACCAUUGAGUUAAUGUUCAUUCCGCAACUCAUUCAAGGGUCGGCAACAUGUGACCGGAUUCUCUGCACAUUUUGUGCCUAUAUGUAAUUAAAUGACUUUCGAGCUGGGAGGUACCAAUUGAACAUGCAGUUCAGGAUUGAGGAAUCAUCAGCAAGCAAAUUGAGUUGUUAUCAACUUCAUUAUAACAUACUUGAUAUCAUAUCAAGAAAUGAUCAAAGCCUGGGCAGAAGGUUUGACAAGUUGUUCUUUUGCUGUAUGUAUUCUUGUUUGGAUCUAAUUAGUAAGUAUCUUGCCCAUGAACAUCAUGUUGGAAUUCUCCACAGAGCUUAAUAAAACAACUGA
rnacentral:misc_RNA from 1 species